rnacentral:rRNA from 1 species
UACGUAGGGGGCAAGCGUUGUCCGGAUUUAUUGGGCGUAAAGAGCGUGUAGGCGGCCAUACAGGUCCGUUGUGAAAACUCGAGGCUUAACCUCGAGACGUCGAUGGAAACCGUAUGGCUAGAGUCCGGAAGAGGAGAGUGGAAUUCCUGGUGUAGCGGUGAAAUGCGCAGAUAUCAGGAGGAACACCAAUGGCGAAGGCAGCUCGCUGGGACGUUACUGACGCUGAGACGCGAAAGCGUGGGGAGCAAACAGG